CACGUAGGGCGCAAGCGUUGUCCGGAAUUAUUGGGCGUAAAGAGCUCGUGGAGCGGUCUGUUGCGUCCGCUGUGAAAACUCGGGGCUUAACCCCGAGCCUGCAGUGGAUACGGGCAGACUAGAGGUAGGCAGGGGAGAGCGGAACUCCUGGUGUAGCGGUGGAAUGCGCAGAUAUCAGGAAGAACACCGGUGGCGAAGGCGGCUCUCUGGGCCUUACCUGACGCUGAGGAGCGAAAGCGUGGGUAGCGAACAGG
rnacentral:rRNA from 1 species